GGAGGCGUUUGGGUGGCUGGUGCCCCUCCCGAUCUUCAAAAUCGAUGUGAUCCGGUAUCCGGGUCAGGCGGGUUCGAUUCCCGUCCGCCUCC
rnacentral:tRNA from 1 species